rnacentral:misc_RNA from 1 species
GUAGGUGAACCUGCGGAAGGAUCAUUAAUAAACCUAGUCGUUCGCGUACAUAGGGGCAACCCUCGCGUGAUGUCAGCAAUACCUAGGUAACCCUUGAAUAAACUACCCUUGUUGCUUUGGCGGGCCGCCGUCUCGGCCAGCGGCUUCGGCUGCUGCGCGCCCGCCAGAGGACCACAACUCUUGUUUUUAGUGAUGUCUGAGUACUAUAUAAUAGUUAAAACUUUCAACAACGGAUCUCUUGGUUCUG